rnacentral:pre_miRNA from 1 species
AAAAGUCAGAAUUCAGGGGCCCCUCCCCAAAAGUUCUAACUGGGUCAGUCCGGGUUGGAGUCCAGGAAUCUGCUUUUUAAGUACUUCGCCC